rnacentral:lncRNA from 7 species
GAAAACCUUCCCAAAAUGGACCCCGGUGAAUGCAUGCAGGAAAUACCACACUGACAGGACUUACUCUGGGAAGCCACUGCUGCAGGCAGCUGAGCCCAUCCUGCCCUGCGGUGCUGGCAGCCCCUCCAUCACCAAGGAGAGAUGUACCCUGGGGCCACCCCAUCCCACCAGCACCUUCACCCCCACAGCCACUUUUGUCAGCCUGGCUGUGCCGGGGACUUCCCAGGGUGAGGAGGACAGAGCUGGCACCACUACCAAAGCUGUGAAGAUGGACAGCUGGACACUUUGCAGGACACGGGUGGUUUUGAGAGAGUUCAGAAAAGAUCUGCUCCCAGUGAAACGGAAAGGAGAAGAUAGAGCAGCUGGAAAGGAUGGUCUUGGACCUCCAACAGGAUGUCCUCUCUCUGAAGAAGAAGGUACAGAGGCUGGAAUCCCUGUCCUUCCAGGAGGAGCCCCACCGGCAGCCCUGUGAGGUGGUGGAGCUCUUCAAUGGCUACACCAAGGAACAGCUCCGAGAAGCAAUCCGCUUUGACCAGAAGAUCAGCACUGCCUGCAAGACGCUGCUCUACAAGCUCUUCACGUCUGACUACAUCCAGAGCCACUCCAUCACGGGGCGCAGAGGCAACACUUUCCGAGAGGCAAAACCCAUGAUGGAUGAGCGCUGCAUCAAAAUCAUCAGGGUGCUGCUGAAACAGAAGUUUGGGGACCACCUCAGCGACACGGUGAUCACAGAGAAGAUACAAAACGUGCAGAAAGCUCUGAGGCAGAAGUUUAAGACAGAAUGUCUCUGACAUGGGGGUGGUUUGGUGUCUCUGGUCCUACCCUUCUCAUCAGUGCACCUGAGCGUCCCUCCCAAAAAUAUCGUGUCUGCAUUGCUGCUGCUUGGCUGAUUCCUCCUGAGGCACUGAAGAGGACACAGAUCUUUCACAAACAUCUACCUGCAUUAAUCAGAGGGAAGUUUGCUCAGCUUGGCUCCAGGUUUGCACAUCUGCCAGCACUUUACCAGUUCCUUCCACUACAGUCUGUGUGCCAAGCUCAACUCAUGGCUGGGUGUUGACCCCUGGGUCUUUUUGAUGGACACACUCAAAAGAUGGAGAUUUCCCAUUGGAUCCAAGCGUGGGUUGGUGAGCCAACCUUGCAGUGGUCAGGGAGGGAGAUUGGUGGGAGGGCAGGAGCUGCAGCCCCAACAAAGCAGCAGCUCCAUUUGCACAGGGACUUGGGAGCACCCAAUGUGACUUCUUGCAUAGCACAGCAGUCCCCUCAUCCUGUGGACAGCACCUACUCCCUUUUUGAACGCAUACUGCAGCUUCUCAUGGUAACAGAAGGGCAGGCUCAUUAACACCAUGCCAUAAAACCUUCAGAGAAGGAUUACUUCACUUUUCUCCCCCUCUGUUUUAAUGUGGCUGUCUGGAAGAAGUGUCUGCACUAAUGAAGCCUGCUG